GGUCAAGCAAUGAAGCGCACACGGUGGAUGCCUAGGCAGUCAGAGGCGAUGAAAGACGUGGUAGCCUGCGAUAAGGUUCGGUGAGGUGGCAAACAACCUGUGACCCGGACAUUUCUGAAUGGGGAAACCCACUCAUCAACAGAUGAGUAUCUUACGCUGAAUAUAUAGGCGUAAGAGGCGAACCAGGGGAACUGAAACAUCUAAGUACCCUGAGGAAAAGAAAUCAACCGAGAUUCCCCUAGUAGCGGCGAGCGAACGGGGACCAGCCCUUAAGCGUGUGACGGAUUAGACGAACAGACUGGGAAGUCUGGCCAUAGCGGGUGAUAGCCCCGUAGUCGAAAAUCUGAUCACGUGAAAUCGAGUAGGUCGGGGCACGAGAAACCUUGACUGAAGACGGGGGGACCAUCCUCCAAGGCUAAAUACUCCUGACUGACCGAUAGUGAACCAGUACCGUGAGGGAAAGGCGAAAAGAACCCCGGAGAGGGGAGUGAAAUAGAUCCUGAAACCGUGUGCGUACAAGCAGUAGGAGCCCACUUGUUGGGUGACUGCGUACCUUUUGUAUAAUGGGUCAGCGACUUAUAUUCAGUGGCGAGGUUAACCGUAUAGGGGAGCCGUAGGGAAACCGAGUCUUAACUGGGCGACACAGUCGCUGGAUAUAGACCCGAAACCGAGCGAUCUAUCCAUGAGCAGGGUGAAGGUUGAGUAACAUCAACUGGAGGCCCGAACCAGGAUCUGUUGAAAAAGAUUUGGAUGACUUGUGGAUCGGAGUGAAAGGCUAAUCAAGCUCGGAGAUAGCUGGUUCUCCUCGAAAGCUAUUUAGGUAGCGCCUCACGUAUCACCGCCGGGGGUAGAGCACUGUUUCGGCUAGGGGGUCAUCCCGACUUACCAACCCGAGGCAAACUCCGAAUACCGGUGAGUGCCAGCGUGGGAGACACACGGCGGGUGCUAACGUCCGUCGUGAAAAGGGAAACAACCCAGACCGUCAGCUAAGGUCCCCAAAUCCUGGUUAAGUGGGAAACGAUGUGGGAAGGCUCAGACAGCUAGGAGGUUGGCUUAGAAGCAGCCAUCCUUUAAAGAAAGCGUAAUAGCUCACUAGUCGAGUCGGCCUGCGCGGAAGAUGUAACGGGGCUAAACCAGGUACCGAAGCUACGGGUUCA
rnacentral:rRNA from 1 species